rnacentral:rRNA from 1 species
GACGGAGGGUGCAAGCGUUGUUCGGAUUGACUGGGCGUAAAGGGCGUGUAGGCGGUCGGCCAAGUCUGAUGUGAAAGCCCGAGGCUCAGCCUUGGAAGUGCGUCGGAAACUAGUCGGCUGGAGCGCGAUAGAGGAGGGUGGAAUUCCUGGUGUAGCGGUGAAAUGCGUAGAUAUCAGGAGGAACACCGGCGGCGAAGGCGGCCCUCUGGAUCGUUGCUGACGCUGAGGAGCGAAAGCGUGGGGAGCGAACAGG